CUGAGCUAUGAAGGAGGUGUUCCGGACUCUCUGCUCUCCUACAGGAUGACAGCUGGUGAGGAGCCGGCCUCUCCAAUGAGGAAACCAGCGACAUGCAAGAGAGCGGCGAAGCUCGAAGCAGCCCCCAAGAUCCUUUGCAUCACUCCUCGGGCCAAUCAUCUCUGUUUGAGAAUAAAGUAAAUCCUACAUGUUGGGAACGGCGUGAAGGUGAG